rnacentral:rRNA from 1 species
GGGGCAGGGUGAGUCGACCCCUAAGGCGAGGCCGAAAGGCGUAGUCGAUGGGAAACAGGUUAAUAUUCCUGUACUUGGUGUUACUGCGAAGGGGGGACGGAGAAGGCUAUGUUGGCCGGGCGACGGUUGUCCCGGUUUAAGCGUGUAGGCUGGUUUUCCAGGCAAAUCCGGAAAACCAAGGCUGAGGCGUGAUGACGAGGCACUACGGUGCUGAAGCGACAAAUGCCCUGCUUCCAGGAAAAGCCUCUAAGCAUCAGGUAACAUCAAAUCGUACCCCAAACCGACACAGGUGGUCAGGUAGAGAAUACCAAGGCGCUUGAGAGAACUCGGGUGAAGGAACUAGGCAAAAUGGUGCCGUAACUUCGGGAGAAGGCACGCUGAUAUGUAGGUGAAGCGACUUGCUCGUGGAGCUGAAAUCAGUCGAAGAUACCAGCUGGCUGCAACUGUUUAUUAAAAACACAGCACUGUGCAAACACGAAAGUGGACGUAUACGGUGUGACGCCUGCCCGGUGCCGGAAGGUUAAUUGAUGGGGUUAGCGGCAACGCGAAGCUCUUGAUCGAAGCCCCGGUAAACGGCGGCCGUAACUAUAACGGUCCUAAGGUAGCGAAAUUCCUUGUCGGGUAAGUUCCGACCUGCACGAAUGGCGUAAUGAUGGCCAGGCUGUCUCCACCCGAGACUCAGUGAAAUUGAACUCGCUGUGAAGAUGCAGUGUACCCGCGGCAAGACGGAAAGACCCCGUGAACCUUUACUAUAGCUUGACACUGAACAUUGAGCCUUGAUGUGUAGGAUAGGUGGGAGGCUUUGAAGUGUGGACGCCAGUCUGCAUGGAGCCGACCUUGAAAUACCACCCUUUAAUGUUUGAUGUUCUAACGUUGGCCCGUAAUCCGGGUUGCGGACAGUGUCUGGUGGGUAGUUUGACUGGGGCGGUCUCCUCCUAAAGAGUAACGGAGGAGCACGAAGGUUGGCUAAUCCUGGUCGGACAUCAGGAGGUUAGUGCAAUGGCAUAAGCCAGCUUGACUGCGAGCGUGACGGCGCGAGCAGGUGCGAAAGCAGGUCAUAGUGAUCCGGUGGUUCUGAAUGGAAGGGCCAUCGCUCAACGGAUAAAAGGUACUCCGGGGAUAACAGGCUGAUACCGCCCAAGAGUUCAUAUCGACGGCGGUGUUUGGCACCUCGAUGUCGGCUCAUCACAUCCUGGGGCUGAAGUAGGUCCCAAGGGUAUGGCUGUUCGCCAUUUAAAGUGGUACGCGAGCUGGGUUUAGAACGUCGUGAGACAGUUCGGUCCCUAUCUGCCGUGGGCGCUGGAGAACUGAGGGGGGCUGCUCCUAGUACGAGAGGACCGGAGUGGACGCAUCACUGGUGUUCGGGUUGUCAUGCCAAUGGCACUGCCCGGUAGCUAAAUGCGGAAGAGAUAAGUGCUGAAAGCAUCUAAGCACGAAACUUGC